UGGGCUAUCGUCAAGCGGUAAGACACAGCAUUUUGAUUGCUGCAUUCGUGGGUUCGAAUCCCACUAGCCUAG
rnacentral:tRNA from 1 species